UGAACUGCAGGACACAUGAACACCGAUAAGUUGAACGCAUAUUGCACGUCGUGCGACAUAGCAUGGCGUACACAUUUUUGAGCGCCC
rnacentral:rRNA from 1 species